rnacentral:tRNA from 1 species
GGGAAGGUGGCUCAGUGGUAGAGUGCUUGCCUCAUAUGCAUGAGGCCCUGAGUUCGAUUCCUUAGCUCCA